GCAACCAGGUGUUACAGAUACAAACAUGGCGGGACAAAACCUAGCCCUGGUCUUUGGAUGUUCACAGGCCCUUUGGUGGACAGGAUGCAACUGAGUCUAUGAAGGACACCCUUCACCAACACUGUGGAAAUCAGAGGAAGGCAAAGGCUGCUUCCAACAUGGAAAACUCUCCUUCCACCUGGGAUCCCAAGGCCUUUGAAGCCCUCAAGGACUUUUCGCCUAAUUCAUUCUGGAACCAAACUAUGCCAGGAUGCAUUCAUUCCUUCAGAAGAAAAAAUAGAUAUUUUUUAAAUGCAUUCAUCUAUGAACUCCAGAAGAGACCAUUCUGGGAAAGAGGAGCCGUGAGCAGGGAGAUAUAUGAAUUGUAGGACACCAGCCCUUUGGAAAAGAUACCAGUCAAAGACGUAGCUGAUCAGCAUAAUGCUAUGCACCCAGAAUAUGCUCAAAAGAUGUACUAAUGUAUUCAAAAAUACUAGUAAUUUACUUUUUCUCAUUGGGAAAAAAUUUAAUGUGACUUACAACAUGUUUAAAUCAAUAAUAUUCUUUGAGAUAAAAUCAUAUCAAAG
rnacentral:lncRNA from 1 species